rnacentral:rRNA from 1 species
AGGAUGAACGCUAGGCGGCAGGCUUAACACAUGCAAGUCGAGGGGUAUAGUUCUUCGGAAUUAGAGACCGGCGCACGGGUGCGUAACGCGUAUGCAAUCUACCUUUCACAGAGGGAUAGCCCAGAGAAAUUUGGAUUAAUACCUCAUAGUAUAGCAGUUUCGCAUGAAACCACUAUUAAAGUCACAACGGUGAAAGAUGAGCAUGCGUCCCAUUAGCUAGUUGGUAAGGUAACGGCUUACCAAGGCAACGAUGGGUAGGGGGUCCUGAGAGGGAGAUCCCCCACACUGGUACUGAGACACGGACCAGACUCCUACGGGAGGCAGCAGUGAGGAAUAUUGGACAAUGGGCGCAAGCCUGAUCCAGCCAUGCCGCGUGCAGGAUGACGGUCCUAUGGAUUGUAAACUGCUUUUAUACAGGAAGAAACACUACUUCGUGAAGUAGCUUGACGGUACUGUAAGAAUAAGGAUCGGCUAACUCCGUG